CAGUAACAACCAGUUCAAUGACCCAUUUCCAAUUGUGACCUUACAAAUCCCAAAUCCUUUCUCUCCCACCUAUUUGAAUUGUUAAGGCCACCUGGUUUCAGUCUCAAGUUUCUGGUCAUCAACCAUUGGUUAUGCCCCUACAAAGAAAACAACAAUUCUAUGAGCUUAUGGACAAACUCUAUGCUCUUUGUGAUGCUAUAGUUUUUUUAUUUUUAACCAGAACAUCUAAAUGGUGCAGUGGCCUUAUGGUUUGAAUGAAUUGAAGUCUCAUUCUUUGCCCCACAUGAUAACUAUUCUUUUUGUUUUACUGAAUCAUAGCUUCAGUUGCAAAGAAAUGAAGUAAUAACACCGAUGAUGAAUCUGCUCAAGCGUCUCUCGGAAUCACUUAUAUCAAUCACUCACUGAUAUGGCUUCUUCUUCUGCUAUGGACGAGUUGGUUUUACAAAACUCUGCCAAUGUGGUCGGUUUGAUUCAAAGACUACGGGAUUCAUGGAUAGCACAAUGGAAAAACCUUUUUCCCAAAAAAAGGAGGAACUGCAGCCUAAUGGAUGUAGUGGGUGACAAAGUUGGUGAUCCGCUUCAGGAGGUUGCAAUAAAGGGGAUAUAGUUGACUUAUAAAUCUUGGACUUAGAAAUAUGAUGAGAAGACCAUGUUUAACAAGUAAUUUAGUCAUCAUUCAUUUAUCAUAUUAUAUGGUUUCAUUUACUAGAAAUUAACGAAACUUGUAACACAUUUUCUCCAUACUGUUUGUUUGCAGGGGAGGUUAGUAU